rnacentral:rRNA from 1 species
GACGUAGGGGGCCAGCGUUGUUCGGAAUUACUGGGUGUAAAGGGUUCGUAGGCGGUGUGGCAAGUCGGGAGUGAAAUCUCUGGGCUCAACUCAGAGACUGCUUCCGAAACUGCUGUCGUGCUGGAGGUGUGGGGAGAGGCGCGGUAGGUAAUUGGCAGGUGUAGCGGUGAAAAUGCGUAGAUAUCUGCAGGAACACCCGUGGCGAAAGCGGCGCGCUGGACCACUACUGACGCUGAGGAACGAAAGCUAGGGGAGCAAACAGG